rnacentral:rRNA from 1 species
GCCCUUAGAGUUUGAUCCUGGCUCAGGACGAACGCUGGCGGCGCGCCUAACACAUGCAAGUCGAACGGAGCUUAGAGAGCUUGCUUUUUAAGCUUAGUGGCGAACGGGUGAGUAACGCGUGAGUAACCUGCCCUAGAGUGGGGGACAACAGUUGGAAACGACUGCUAAUACCGCAUAAGCCCACGGUGCCGCAUGACACUGAGGGAAAAGGAUUUAUUCGCUUUAGGAUGGACUCGCGUCCAAUUAGCUAGUUGGUGAGGUAACGGCCCACCAAGGCGACGAUUGGUAGCCGGACUGAGAGGUUGAACGGCCACAUUGGGACUGAGACACGGCCCAGACUCCUACGGGAGGCAGCAGUGGGGGAUAUUGCACAAUGGGGGAAACCCUGAUGCAGCGACGCCGCGUGGAGGAAGAAGGUUUUCGGAUCGUAAACUCCUGUCGUUAGGGACGAUAAAGACGGUACCCUAACAAGAAAGCACCGGCU